rnacentral:lncRNA from 1 species
AGAGAAAACAAUGUCAACCGCGAUGCAACCAAGGUUGACAAUGCUUUUUCGAGUGGUACGAAUCUGCUCUAUCACCAUCUCAGUUAUGUGUUAUUUAAAUUAUUAUACUAAAUGUCCUAUCAUUAUAGUCUUUUACAGAUUAAUUUUAUUUUAAAAGUAUGUUCUAUGACGUACAUACAUAACAACAUUAAUACGGGUAUUAGA